UCUGCCGGGGUCGGCUGCCAGUGGUCUCUGCCCCAGCACGGGAAAAGGUGGUUCUGGGCAGGCCGCACUCUCGAAGAAGGAGUCUGGACUCUUGCUUUUCGGUCUUCAGUUGAGUUUAUUGUUCCUUAUCUACAAAGUUUUUCUGUCUGUCCAGCCGAGGUCUGAUCAGCAAGACAGCCAAGGGCACUCUCUCCCGCCCAUGGGGCGGUUGUCUCUUUUCUAGUAAAAACUACGUAGAAGAUAUUUACCUUUAAUUUCCAAUACUUUUCGCCCUUGUUGGCAAGUGCACUUUCCCUAUGAACCAAUCCACACAUGCCAACAUCAUCCUGAACGUGGAUGCCAAGGAGAAGACAGAAGAAGGACAGGACAUGCCCAAAUUCCUCCAUCUUAGUACCCCUGACCCCCAUGUACAGAAUUUCAAAACCCCCCUGUACAACAUAUAAAACCCCCCUGUACAGUGCAUUAUAAUUCAAGUUUUAUCAAGUGAGUAUCUUCCCCUCACCAUUCAGGCCUGAAUUUCUCUCAUUUUCUCACAUUCAGGUGUCUUUGGCUUCCUGCCAGGGUCUCCGAGCCCCUGCCAGGGCUCUGAGACAUCCAGGGCAUCCAGAGAGAUGCUCUGGGUUCCGACACUAGUCCUCCAUCAAAGCUUUUCUUUUGACUUGUGUGUUUGGUGAAGGGCACAGGGGAAGGUGCCACCACAAGUCCUUUUGAUUUUCUGUUCUCUUGUUUUGUGGGUGAGUGAGGGGGAAUGGAGUGGCAGGGAGCAACCUGGGUCUCAGGGCUUUAGAAGCAAGGGGGAAUGGAAAUCAAAUUCUCUUAUUGUUUAGCUGUGCUCUGCAAUAUGAACCCACCUGUUAAUUUAAAUUGUCAAGUUUAGUUAAAGUCUAUUAAGUGUUGUGUUGUUUUUAGUUAAGACAAAAUUAUUAUUUUAACUAUGAUUGUUAUACAUUUAAUUAUAAAUCAAACAAAAAAGGGGGAGUCGUGGGAGCUUGUGCUGGAGGGCAGGGGCCAGGAACUGACCAUACAGCCACACAUCAGACAAACAACGACCAACACCAAGCCUCAGGAGAAGAGAAGCCACAAGGGAUGACACCCAGACAACUUAUGGGGAGCUUCUCAUGAAGAGCAGAGGACUCUGGAUUGGGAGUGGCCAUGCAGAUCAACAGCCUGCCUGGACCCAUCAGGGCAGAGGGAAAACAGGUGAUGGCUUUGGGAUGGGCACCCAAAUCUGCCUACACUAUCCCUCAAUGCACCAUCCAGCACCAGGAGAAGCUUUGCUUCAUUUUUUCAGUAUUUUAUCCAAUUACUUUUGAUUUUUUCUUCUUGCUACCUUCAACAUCUGUACAUAGUCCUCUCAUUCCUUUGAUGUUUCUACCUCUUCCUUUCUUUGCACCUUCCCCUCCCUAAUUGUCAGCUGAACUAUUGACAGAUGGCUUUUUUCACCCACUGGUACCUGAUGUGCCAGCAGCAAAAUAAUUCUCAUUAUUUUGCCCCUAACUGCCUUCUCAUUGGGGCACUGUCACAGCUGGCAAAGCUUUGGUCUUUCAUGUGUUUUUUGGGCAGGAGGUGGGUGAGGGCAGACCAAGUGACUUCCUAAGGCCUACAGAGCAAUGCCCUGCAAGCCAGACCUGUUCUCUUUCAGGCAAAUCUUCUUGGAAAGGACUUCAGAAUUCCAACAUGGAAAUGAAGCACUGUUGACAGAGCACUAGACUCUGAAAGGAUUUGAAAGGGGAGAGGAAGCUCAGCUUGCACAUGAGCCACAAGAAGCUUUCUCCCCACCAGAAUUUUGGCAUCACAAUAGCAGUGCUCCAUGCUGGCCAUCUCUCCCCAGGAUAUCCCCCACGUGCACGCCCCUCCUGCUGGCAAUGGGCUCACUUUGGCUGUCUUGUGGGGCAGAGAAGGGAACAGGCACCCAGAGAGGGAGCAUUUCACUGUGUUUCAGAAAAUGACAGCAGAGCAGCCUUCCUCAGCAAAGUCAUCUGAAAUGACUUAAGAGUCCUAAUAGUCUGGAACGCCUCAAGGUGCUCUCAUACCAGGACCUCACUGCUGCCUCACCUGAGGGUUUACAGCUGCCUCCAGGCCCUUCCAGGCUAAGCGCAGGUGCUCAGGAGUCUGACUUUUUCCUGACAUCUCCCAAGAAAGUCUUUGCCUCAUCUGGAUUUCUUGGGGUUUCAUCAGAGGAACCAGGCACCAGCAAAUUUCAUCUCAAGCGUCAGCUCAUCAUUCCGCUGGUUCCCAUAGACCGCAGAUGCCGCCCUGAGCUCACCGUUUCUCUGCGUCCCAUAGACCAUCACAGCCCUUCCAUGGCCUCUCCAGAGGGAAGCAGCUGCACAUCCUCAGAGCAGUAUUUGCCAGCCUGCAGUUCAUCAGCCACCCCAGGCACUUCAGGCCCCAGCGCUCCAGCUGGCAGUGCUGGUUUUGCACCAUGGACAGCCCCCAGCUGGCUGUGGAAUACUCCUGGGGAAGAGGAAUUGCCACCACCAGAUCUGGACAUGGUGCUUGAGACGCUGGAGGAGAUGUUUUCUCCCUCUGCUCAGGUAACUGCAUUGGACAGGGAAGAAAAGGGCUGGGAGCUGAGAGCUUGUGAAUGUUGUUGCAUGGCUGAGAAGCAAAGGCUUCUUGAGUUCAGCUCAGUGAAUGGACAGGAAAAGAUUUGCUUGGUGAAACAAGACUUCCUAAAGAAGAGGGAAUGAAAAAGUCUCCCCCUGAAUAAGGAUGAAGAGGUGUGAGCCUGUGUUGGUCAGGUUUGGGUGCCUGUUUUCCUGGGAAGAAUCCCUCGUGCAGGGGUGUUUGUGGUGAGGAAGUGGAAGCUUUGUAGGUUCUAAGAGGCUUUGUUUGGUGGGAAAGAAGAGAAGAGUGUUUGGAGAAUUGCCAAGUGUCCCGUGCAGGGAGGGACAUGCCAGAGGCUGUGCCUCUUUUGGGUGGGAAGGCCAAGGCAAA